CAGCAAACCUGUCAAUAGCCACAUUCGUAUACAAGAUGGCGAGCGGCUCAGACGUACCUGCUGAUUUAGAGGCGAUUAGAAACAGGUUUGCCGGCGAAUGGAAGCUCAUGAACAGCGAGGGACUGGACGAGUAUCUUAAAUUCAUAGGUUUGAAUUUCCUUUUCCGUAAGGUUGCCGGUAAUGCUAGCUGCACUGUGAUCAUAUCCGUAGAGGAAAACAAGGUCCGACUCAUCACUAAGGGGCCCAAAACACAAGACCACGCUUUUAACCUGAACACAGAGGUGGACGAUUCGGACCCUGUAGGAAAUGAGAUGACAGCUGUAGUGACGUUUGAGGACGGUAAACUGGUGACAAACUCCAAACCAAGAAAUAAAUCCAAUGCCAAGGUCACAAAGGUCACACGAGAGGUCAUCGCAGGGGUCAAGGGCAAACCUGACGAAAUGAUUAUGACGGUGGAGGCAGGGACGUUGGUGAUGAAGAGAUUUUUCGUCAAACAGAACUGAUGGCUGUCCUAAAUGUGUGACAGAUGUCAUCCUUGUUGGCUAUGUGGAAUUUUCAGUACAGAGUUUUGGAAAUACUCUCCUAGUGAUAGUGACCCCGGAAGUAAACAACUGAUAGUGACCCCGGAAGUAAACAACUGAUAGUGACCCCGAUGUCCAUGAUAUCGAUUUGAUGACACUCAAUGCCUGACAUUUGAACUCAUUGACUACAUAUCUACAUAAAUAUGUCAUUUUGUGGAAUUCAAGAAAAAGUGCAAUCAAUUGUCGGAUGUAUUUUACUGUAUACAUCUGUUUUCAUUUUAGUGAAUUUUUUUUUUGAUAAUAAUAUUUUAAAGAUUUAUUUUCAUUUUAUACAAUGAUCCACAUUUUAAGUGUAAAAUAUGAUAUUUGUGCAAUAUAUCUGUUUAAAUUGAGGAAAUACAAGUACGAACUCUAAUUUCUUGCAUAAUAUUUGUGAUGAAAUAUAUUGAUUUUAUGCACGUCAGUCAAUAUAAUUUUGAAUCCAUAGUGGUUUUGGUAUUAACAUAUGUUUAUAGAUAUUCACGGAACAUGUUUAUCAGUUCCACAUUAACCAUUCCAUACUUAUAACGGACCAUGUAUCGUGGGCCUGAUGCGAGUAGCCUUCAAUCUUUAAAAUUAUCUCGGACUUCGUCAUUUACCAAGUCCGAUAUUGUUCGAGAACUGGGAGUAGGCAGUGAAGCAUUCACUUGACACAUUGUGUACAGGUGUACCUCCAUGUAGUACUAGUAAUGUCUUCUAGUCUAUUCUACUACGUCUCCGAUGUACAUUGUAAUAACGCCUGCCAUUGGUUAAUAACCAUAUGCCUGCUUGUCUUUGUUGAAAAAAUCAACUCUCCGUCUGGCAGGUGUAAAAAAGUGAUCUGUUCGACUUUAUAUUUCUUCGUUUAGUGAGGGUAUAAUCAUACGUGAUUGUAAGGUUGUCAAAUGUUGAUGUCAUGUGCUGAUGAGUGACGUCGAUAUCUAAAUUCUUUCUAUUAAAAUAUAUAUCUUGUACAAAA